UACGUAGGGGGCAAGCGUUGUCCGGAAUCAUUGGGCGUAAAGAGCGUGUAGGCGGCCAGAUAAGUCCGCUGUGAAAUCUCGAGGCUCAACUUCGAGCUGUCGGUGGAAACUGUCUGGCUAGAGUCCGGAAGAGGAGAAUGGAAUUCCUGGUGUAGCAGUGAAAUGCGUAGAUAUGCGGAGGAACACCGAUGGCGAAGGCAGCCUCCUGGGAUAACACUGACGCUCAUGCACGAAAGCGUGGGGAGCAAACAGG
rnacentral:rRNA from 1 species